CAAGGCUUGACAUAUACGAGAACGGGCCAGAAAUGGUCAACUCUUUGGACACUCGUAAACAGGUGGUGCAUGGUUGUCGUCAGCUCGUGUCGUGAGAUGUUGGGUUAAGUCCCGCAACGAGCGCAACCCUCGUUCUAUGUUGCCAGCACGUAAUGGUGGGAACUCAUGGGAUACUGCCGGGGUCAACUCGGAGGAAGGUGGGGAUGACGUCAAAUCAUCAUGCCCCUUAUGUCUUGGGCUUCACGCAUGCUACAAUGGCCGGUACAAAGGGGUGCAAUACCGUAAGGUGGAGCGAAUCCCAAAAAGCCGGUCCCAGUUCGGAUUGAGGUCUGCAACUCGACCUCAUGAAGUCGGAGUCGCUAGUGAUCGCAGAUCAGCAACGCUGCGGUGAAUACGUUCCC
rnacentral:rRNA from 1 species